GGAAUAUUGGGCAAUGGACGAAAGUCUGACGGAGCAACGCCGCGUGAGCGAUGAAGGCCUUCGGGUCGUAAAGCUCUGUUGUUAGGGAAGAACAAGUGCUAGUUAAAUAAGCUGGCACCUUGACGGUACCUAACCAGAAAGCCACGGCUAACUACGUGCCAGCCGCCGCGGUAAUACGUAGGUGGCAAGCGUUGUCCGGAAUUAUUGGGCGUAAAGCGCGCGCAGGCGGUUUCUUAAGUCUGAUGUGAAAGCCCCCGGCUCAACCGGGGAGGGUCAUUGGAAACUGGGAAACUUGAGUGCAGAAGAGGAAAGUGGAAUUCCAAGUGUAGCGGUGAAAUGCGUAGAGAUUUGGAGGAACACCAGUGGCGAAGGCGACUUUCUGGUCUGUAACUGACGCUGAGGCGCGAAAGCGUGGGGAGCAAAC
rnacentral:rRNA from 1 species